AUUGAACGCUGGCGGCAUGCCUUACACAUGCAAGUCGAACGGCAGCACGGGAGCAAUCCUGGUGGCGAGUGGCGAACGGGUGAGUAAUAUAUCGGAACGUGCCCAGUCGUGGGGAUAACGUAGCGAAAGCUACGCUAAUACCGCAUACGAUCUAUGGAUGAAAGCGGGGGAUCGCAAGACCUCGCGCGAUUGGAGCGGCCGAUAUCAGAUUAGGUAGUUGGUGAGGUAAAGGCUCACCAAGCCGACGAUCUGUAGCUGGUCUGAGAGGACGACCAGCCACACUGGGACUGAGACACGGCCCAGACUCCUACGGGAGGCAGCAGUGGGAAUAUUGGACAAUGGGCGAAAGGACCUGAUCCAGCAAUGCCGCGUGAGUGAUGAAGGCC
rnacentral:rRNA from 1 species